rnacentral:rRNA from 1 species
UACGGAGGGGGGCUAGCGUUGUUCGGAAUUACUGGGCGUAAAGCGCACGUAGGCGGCUUUGUAAGUUAGAGGUGAAAGCCCAGGGCUUAACCCUGGAAUUGCCUUUAAGACUGCAUCGCUAGAAUUGUGGAGAGGUAAGUGGAAUUCCGAGUGUAGAGGUGAAAUUCGUAGAUAUUCGGAAGAACACCAGUGGCGAAGGCGACUUACUGGACACAUAUUGACACUGAGGUGCGAAAGCGUGGGGGAGCA